rnacentral:rRNA from 1 species
ACGGAAGGCAGCAGUGGGGAAUAUUGCACAAUGGGGGAAACCCUGAUGCAGCGACGCCGCGUGAGUGAAGAAGUAUUUCGGUAUGUAAAGCUCUAUCAGCAGGAAAGAAAAUGACGGUACCUGACUAAGAAGCCCCGGCUAACUACGUGCCAGCAGCCGCGGUAAUACGUAGGGGGCAAGCGUUAUCCGGAUUUACUGGGUGUAAAGGGUGCGUAGACGGCUUUGCAAGUCUGAAGUGAAAGCCCGGGGCUCAACCCCGGAACUGCUUUGGAAACUGUAGAGCUAGAGUGCAGGAGAGGUAAGUGGAAUUCCUAGUGUAGCGGUGAAAUGCGUAGAUAUUAGGAGGAACACCAGUGGCGAAGGCGGCUUACUGGACUGUAACUGACGUUGAGGCUCGAAGGCGUGGGGAGCAAACAGGAUUAGAUACCCUGGUA